ACUACGCAUCCCAUCGAGCAGUUCGCGCAUUGCCAUGACAGCAGCAGGACGCUAUGGCGGUUAGCUAGCGACAGUAAUAAUUAAUAUUAAUAAUGAACUAAUGGACAACAGGAUGCGAGGGGUUGCGGGGACUCCGUCUGCUUCUGUCGCUAACGAUGCCGAGCAGGGGGUCGAGGGCUGGGCCGUGAAUCGACAGGGCCUCGUUGGCCAAGCGAGGGAAAUCCAGGUGACCGGGGCGGCAGAGGUUUGUUGCCCGGCCGACAGAGCGACGGUGCGGUUCAUGGUGGGCAACAGCAAGGCGUCUGUGAGCGAUGUCACCAGUCGUGUGUCAAAGCGGGUGGAGUACAUUUUACAGGCUGCCAGACAACAUGGAGUGAGAGAAGAAGACGUCACCGUGAGGAAAUUUCUCCACCGGGAUGAAGAACUGUAUCACAUGAACUCAGAGGUGACGGUGACCUUCUCGGACUUUGAGAAGAUGGAGCAAGUGUGCAUCAUCCUGUUGGAGAAACUGGACAAGAGUGUCUCCGUGGGAAUGCCUCGGUUUUUCCACAGCGCGGAAUGCCUAAAUCGCAUCAGGCAGAGUGUAUGCGUGUCAGCAGUGGACAACGCCCAGCAGAAGGCCAGCAGAGUCAGCCAGCUGCUGGGACAAAGUCUGGGAGCACCCACCCUGAUCCGAGAGAUGGACACGCGGGAAUGGAGGGGCAAGGACGAGGACGGUGCCCAGUGGGGUGAAGACACCUCCCAUGCUGCUGCUGCCCUUCUUCCUCGAAUACCCACCAUCACUGCCACCUCACUGGUGUCCGUUUACUUCCGGCUGCGGGAAGGAAGCAGGAAGAAACUCUAAAAUGUUGGGGGGUAAAAGGCUUGCAACAAAUACACUCCUGAUCAAAAUUCAUAAGCAUUUGGAAAAAUGUGAAGAAUGUACAUUUUGCACUGUUGGGUCGUAAGCAGGUUCUAUGUCGAGCAUCAAAAUGCAAAAAGAAGAAAUGGGAGUGAGACAAAAAAGCAAUUUAUUGUGAAGAAGCAUUAAAGUGAAAUAGGCUGUUCAUCAGCUGAUCAAAAGUUUAAGAGUAUAGCUUAAAAAAAGCCUGAAAUCCCCCAAAAUAGAAAUCAAAUGUAGAAAAAAGGAGUGAGUAAUGAGUAGCUGUGCCAUUCUUGUUCAUGAGGUGAAAAAUGGCUGUGGGCAUGCUUGAUGCCAGUGUUUCCAGGAGGCUAGUGGGAAUGUUGCUCCAGGUGGUGAAGAUGGCUUCAUGGAGGGUAUCCACUGUCUGGAACUGAUGUCCGUUUGUAUAAAUCCAUCCCCAAAUGUUCUCCAUUGGAUUUAGAUGAGGGGAACACGCAGGAUGGUCCAAAAGAGUGAGCUGAGUCCUCUGGAAGAAGUCCUUUGUGAAGUGCAGCGUUGUCCUGUAGAAGAAGUCAUUACCACACAGACGAGGACCUUCAGUCAUGAGGGAUGCCCCCUGCAACAUCUCCACAUAGCCAUCUGCCGUUUGACGCCCCUGCACAACCUGAAGCUCCAUUGUUCCAUUGACGGAUCAUGAUGGCGCCCCUCCACUGUGCCGUGUGGAAAACAUCUCAGGUGGGAUCUCCUUGUCAUGCAGUAACGUUGGAAGCCAUCAGGACCAUCAAGGCAGAAUAAAACUUUCUUCCACCUUUCAAUGUCCCAUGUUUGGUGCUCUCCUGCAAAUUCCAAACCCUGAAGCAGACGAGGCCUUUGAAGACGUUUUUUCUUCUUAAAAGCCUUCUCUGGCAGAUGGCGUCUGAUGGUUAUUGGCCUGCACUCGGCACCAGUAACAACCUUCAUUUGGGCCGAGGAUGGUCCCGUGUCUUGACAGACAGCCAAUGGGAUCCUGCGGCUCAUUUUUUUGGGUCUACCACUUGACUUGACUUUUCAGGAUGUUUGAAGAAGUUUGAAAUGACUCUUACUGUGUCCGACCGCAGCAGCAAUGGCGAAGAGAAAAAGCUUUUUUGCCUUUGCCAUCAAGAGAUCAUGACGGUGUGAAUACCUGACACUAAAUCACAUUCAGUCCUUAUUUUUAACAACAUUUUGCCUUUUAAAGGCUAUGCUCUUAAACUUUUGAUGAGCUGAUGAACAGCCUAUUUCACUUUAAUGCUUCUUCACAAUAAAUUGCUUUUUUGUCUCACUCUCAUUUCUUCUUUUUGCAUUUUGAAAGGCUACACUGUUUUUGGGAUCUUUAUGUGAGACAUGAACACACGUCUCUCUUUUCUGUGCGUUGUAAAGAUAUAAAAAGGCAGCUAACGCACGUAAUGGGACACACCUAUUCUGCCUAUAAAGCCUUCUGAAAAAAAACAACGCACCAUUUCCAUAAAGUGACCUGCAUAUUAGCAAAGCUACAGCGACAUUGUUAUUGUUGUUGUUAACAUUAUUACGCCCAAGAACUAAGUUUCUGGCGUAGUGACACCUCGCCACAUCACACCGACUAGCUGCCGCCACUGCUGCUGUGUUUUUGAGUUUGGAAAAGUUAAGCUAGGUGUAGCAUUCCUUUCUAUGUUGCUAUGUGAAAUCAAUGCACCCAGGAAGGAAGUUCCGCUAAUGUUUCAAAUGAACAAAAUAGUGUAAGUAUUCCAUUUUAUCAUGAAUGUACCUGCUACUACACGCUCACAACGUGGAUAGAAAACCAUAAAACCUUGUUGGAGCUUUUUGGAGGUGUUUUAAUAGCAGCCAUUUUAGGUGGAAUAGGUGUGUCCCAUUACCUGCCUCGUUUUAGCUGUUUUUAUAUCUUUAGAACACACACAAACGAGAAAGACGUGUGUUCAUGUCUCACAUAAGGAUUGUGGAUGAUGGGCUAAAUUCCCAAAGAAGUGAACUUUUCCUUUAAGAUCCAACAGUGCAAAAUGUACAUUCUUGACAUUUUUCAACUACUCUUAUGAAGUGUUUUUUUGUUUUGUUUUAAGGUAGGGGUCAGCAACCUUUAGCAUCAAAAGAGCCAUUUUGCCUCCUCUUCCAGUAAAGAAAAAUGGUCUGGCGCCGCAAAACAUGGCAGCUUAUAAACAUUUUAAAAGUUUUAAUCUUUGUCAGAUGUUACCUUUUAGAGCAACAGAAGUGCAGAGUGCACGUGUAGGCCUACUUUGAAAUCAUUUCAACACUCAACUAUGUAGGCUUUCUUGAGUCAUUCCUGUGUUUGUGUCAAAUGAAAAGGAAAUGUAGCCAAGUUGAACAUAAAAAAGCCCGUGAGAGUUGAGUGCAUAUCAGUACGUCUGCUCAUCAUCAUUUCCAUCACUUGACUCAUCACAGGCAAUUCAAUAUGCUGGCACUGAAUUCAUGGCAUCAAUUUGCCUCCUGGUGAUGUUUACCAUUCUACUGGUCCUGUUCUUCUUUAUUUAUUUAUUGGGGCAAUAGAUGCUGUGAUAUUUUUCUAUUCUUCCGUGUUCGGUGCUCAGAAGCCACAAAAAGAAGCCUGAAGCCCUGCAUGCAAAUUCGGAGCCGCGGGUCGUCGACCAUUGAUUUAAGGUAAGAUUAAAAAUUUUAAAUGCAUCAUUUAUUUGCACUCACACAUUCAUAGUUAUACAUACAGCCUGUCUUUGGAUGUUAUUGUUUCUUGGCACAUUUUGGUUGAAAAUAGCAAAACACAGCACUUUGCAAAAUGACUGGGCCACCAUGAGAUUAAUAGCAAUUCUAUCAUGAUCGUUUCCAAUGAUUUCUCACAAAAACCAAAAGCAGGUAGCGUCUUUGAGGUGAAGUACAACAUGUAUUUAGCCUGCUUACAUGUGGGCAAAAGCAGAAACGAUUGAUAUUUUCAAAUACAAAUUAGUUGCACAGCUUCAAAGUAUUAACUCUUUAGCUUUUGUGCUUUUAGUUGUUCUUGAGCAAAAGAGCUGUUUCACUAUAAAUACCAGUUUAAUUCAUUUUACUUAAAGCAUUGCGGUCAAAAAUGGUUUGAUGACCACAGUUUGACCCUGGAACAGAUUGUUUCCAUUAUGUAACCAUUUGACUUUAUGUGUUCAGCCUCACAGGUUUACUAGUACUAGUAGUAAUAGGUAGUAGUGACCCAGUACUGUACUGUAAAAUACAUCAAGCUCGCUGGUGCUUAGACGGGGAGUCGUGAGUGGACCCAUCCCAUCACAAGUUGGCUCAGGCAUCCUCCGUUUCGUCCUCGGGGAAGAUCUUUCUGAGCCAAGGCAGCGGGACGAAGCGCUCGCCGUCGAAAUGUGAAAAGUACUUCUCCAAGGUGGGAAUGUCCGGCUAAAAACAUCCCAGAGUGAAUCCACGGCACAGCUGAAGAUGUGUUGCCAUGUUUAUCCUGCUUCGUACCUGCGUCCCUCGGAUGCGCUUGAGUUGCGUUUGAGGCAGGUAGGCCACAAACAGAGACGCCGGUCUGGGCCCGCCGAACAGAACCUUGUAGUGUGGCGUCUUCUCUGCUGCGUGGGCCUGAAAGGGCGAUCACAGUGACCGUGGGGGUCAUUUAUUCACAUGACUGGAAAGGACGUUUAUGGCGCCCCCUAUGGCUUGUUGUCAGAAAGACCUGCUAGCAUUUACAGUGGUGUGAAAGUGUUUGCCGCCUUCCUGAUGUAUUUCUUUUGAUGUUUGUCACACUUGAAUGUUUCCAAUCAUCCAACAAAUGUAAAUAUUAGUCAGCGGCAACACAACUGAACACAAAAUGCAGUUUCGAAAUGAAACUUUUUAUGAUUAAGGGAGGAAAAAAAUCCAAACCUACAUGACCCUGUGCGAAAAAGUGAUUGCCGUGUUUGUUUGUUUCUUUUACUAAUCUUGCUCAAAUUUUAUGCACGUGUGCUUGUCAGUCCCCGAAAUGUGCACCAAAUUUGGUGGCGGUUGGGCGAAACACCCUAAAGUCACAGCAGGUGUUUUUGUGUGAGAAAAUUUCAAGUCAAUCCCAUUUAUGGUGUUUAAUAACAGCGCCACCAUGUGGUGUGUUUGUCAGAGAAAUUAGUGCCCACACUGUGCCGAAUUAGUAAAUAGUUCCAUCCAGACAGGAACGAUCAGUGAGUGAAAAGGAUGUAAUACGCAAGGCACACCUACGUGUGGCGCUGUAAACACAGACGGAACCACGUGACACAGCAAACUAUAGCAGAAGUCCGUCAUCUUCCGCUUUCCAAGGCUCACCUGCACACUUACGAGAAGUGGAAUUACUGCAACAAGUGUGGACUGGGGGGAGUCACGUCCGUCCAAAUAUCCACAUAUUAUGUUGGCUGGUCGUUAGGUGUCACGAUAAUCACUAAAGCCAUGAAUCCAACGACAAAAACAACAGGUUGAUAAUUAUGACACCCUGGAUAAAUUGACGUGCAUGUGCGUCUGCUCGUCUCUCUGCGCCACACAGGCUGGACGACGAAGAGGGUUCACUCUGCAUCUGUUUGUGCGCAUCGGUUCUAUAGUGGAAUGAACGGAGAGAGUGAGCCCUCAUCUCAUUCAGCCUCUUUGUGGAGGCGGGGCGUUUUCAGAUUUCCCCACUCUGGAAGCCGUUUUUAAAAAAUAGCGUUUCAGAGCAUCCAGAAGGCCGUUUCCUUGUGGCUGAAAGGCUGAAACCAUAAAAUAGUUGACCCUUUUGACCUGAAAAGGUUUCCGUGUGGGCAGCCCCACAGAGUGUUAGCUCCUGAGGCUACACGCCAGCAGAUUACAAUCAUGAAGCGUUCACACGGAAGAAUCAUUGUAUGCCUGAUAUUUGUCUGCACACGUGAUCUAUGCAUAGCUAGCAUUCGCCACCCCGCAAAUUUUUGAUCAAAAAUUUGUCGGCAAAUUCGCCCGAUUUACAAAAAAUUAUUUUUUUUUUUCAGAAAACCCAUUUCAUUCACCCUACAUCUGCAAUCAUUUACAAAUAUGUGAUAAUGAAGCAUAACAUGUCAGAAUAACCGGAUUAUAAACAAAUACGUAUAUGACAUAAACACACAAUAACAUACUGUGGCAAGCUUGAGUCAGACAGCCAACGCAGCAUAAACGAACAAAAAGGUCAUCGACUCCAACCACUACGUCAUCACCGUGCAAUCAACACAAGUGUGUGUGUGCGGCAUAUUUCAGCUUCUGUGCAUUUAGCUUGUUAGCUUCCGAGCAAACAAUGGCACAAUUACAGACGGGGAAGGUUGCUCAAUGAAAAUGAAUAAGACGUUGGAAUGUAUCGAGAUGCACGUGUACACUAACAAACUUUGAAAGUGUUUUUUAGUCAGGUGAGGUGCAGGCGGGUACUGACCUCCACAUCGCUGUACAUCCUGUCAACCCACUCGGCGGGGGCCCGCAUCUCAGAGUCCCAGCUGACCACCACCCCAACCCGGUGCCCCUUCCUCUCUAUCACCACCUCGCCCACCCGCAGGAAGACGUAGGGCGGCCGCGGACUGCGCACGGCCUUGGAGGCUGCGGCGGCAAAUGAAUGAAAAGUUAACUUUACGGUCUUUGUGGCGGCUGCGCCUAAUAUUUUGGCCUGAAGGAUCAUCGCUGUGGGGGUACGCUAACCUCCAAAGAAUCCCUGAUUGUUGUCACGCAGCAUGGUUUCCAUGGCAACCAUCUUCUUGGCCACUUCGUCUUCCGUCUGGAGACCGAGGAAGGACCUUCACAGGAGCACAAAUGGCGGUGUGUUCGGGUGCUGCGGGGAAACAGCACGUCGGAAGCUGGAGGAGGCGUCAGAUGGAGGAGACUCACCACACUUUGGACACCUGCCGCUCUCCCCACUCUGUCCACGCACUUGCAUUGAGGUACGACUUCCUCCACUCGUUCCACACUCGAAGAAACCUGAAAUGAUCGCUUUUGUCACGUCUAGCGCUACAAAGACGGAUUUUGUCCACGUGUCUAACAAUGGCAAUGGUUGCCUUGGUUGCACUUCAACUAGUGUAUUUGUCCUGCACAUAAAAGGGGGCAUUUGACGUCACAUUAUUCUACUUCCGCUCAAAAAUGUAGCCAUCCCGCCUGGUGUAUUGUACAAAAAAUGAGGAAGUUAUUUUUAUGGAGCGUUAUGAUGAGUUCCCAAACGAUUAUGACUGCCAAAAACAACGCUGUCGCCGCCAAUAGAGCGAGGAAGGACUGCUGGAAAAUUAAGUAUAACUACAGUGGACCUUUCCCGCCCCACGCGUAGACCCUGCAGUACUACCGUGUGGACGUGUGGAGGCGCUGCGACGCCGUAGAGCCGCUCCAGCGGGAGAUGAAGUACUGGGCGGGCAAGGCGGACAGCAGCAGCGCCAACUGGAGAGCCGCGGUGGCCGUCAGCUGAGGCAUCACCUGCGGGCACACACCGUGGGUAAUAAAAUCUCCAUGCGCCAAGCUUGGGCAUGGCAAACACAACUUUAAGGAAACAAAUUAACUCGUGUGUGGAAGUUUAGUCCUUACCUUGUUUUGGAUAAAAUUCUACUCUGUUGUCCGACUAAAACAUGGCUGAUUAAGCAGUGUGUGUGCGUGUGGUUUAUUGAUAAACCAACGCCGCUGCCACCUGUCUGUUGACAUGCCACAGCUGGGCGAGAGAUGAAAAGGCAUUAGGCUGCGUUUCGUCCAAUCAGGGAAGCCCACGGAGGAACCAGGCGACCUCUCGUGACGCGCCACGUCAGAAUUAAAACAAGCCUCCUCGAGGAAGCAGUGUAGUGACACGUCCUCGUCACCAGAUGGGGCUGUUGCUAAGACACAACGAUCCUUUUAUUAUUCGUAGCUUUAUUUUAUUGAAUUAAAAAUAUGUAGUUAAAGUAAAUUAAACUUUGCUUGUUUUUACAUAUGUGGAUGGCUCUGGAGAACUGCGUACGGACUUCCAUUUCAUUCAUCAUGCUGUAUUGAAAAUAAGUCAAUCCAAGUCUAAAACAUCACCCAACUAACUCUCUUAGCUUUUAAACACCAUAAAAGAAAUGUAUCUUCUGCAAAUAUAAAUAAAAUUGAGUUGUAAUUUCAUCCACAUUGCACAUUUGGAAGCAGUUUCCCAAAUGUAGCGUGUAAAGACACCAUUUAACUGAACAUGAAGGCACGCAUGUCUGUGCAGCGUCAACUACAUUAUUGAAAAGGUGCAUUUGGUUUUAUUAUGCAGCACUUACCUUCUCUUUACACUCGUGCAAGUGUGAGGAGUUUGUAAAACGUGUGACGCAAAGUCAACUUCUCCCGAAACCAAGCAAAACUCUGCUGUCGUUUUAAAGCAGGUUGGAUCCAGAUCUGAUCCAGAUUGCACAAUUGGCAGCAAUUUCACAAAUGCAACAAGCAGGAGCAAAUUUCACUCGACAUUAAAAGACACUUGAGUCUUGGUGUUGCAUCUUUUUACAGUUCCUUCCCUCCGGGAUUAAACUUGAGCAGCUUUCAAUGACAGACGACAAAAUUAGAACAUCAAGUGUAUACAGAAACACAAGUGUUUAUUCCUUCGAAAUAUUGGUAUGAACUAACAGGACAGCAGUACUUUGCCUACACGUGUAUGUACGUACAUUCUACCUGGUAGGCUUCCUUUCAUCUUCUCUUCAUACUGUGUAUAUAUAUUGUACAUUUAUAAAAAAGUAUCCAAACUAACAAUUAAGUUCUCUUUAAAAUGUGGAAAACAGAAAGGCCCCCCUACCUUCACAACGCCACCCCACUCUUAGAACUGGAAAUGCUAACGCACGCACGCGCUCGCGCUCACACACACCCACCCACACACACACAC